GUGAUCGCUUUGGCAGCACGUACACUAAAAUUGGAGCAAUACAGAGAUUAGCAUGGUCCCUGUGCAAGGAUGACAUGCGAAUUUGUGAAGCGUUCCAUAUUAAA